rnacentral:rRNA from 1 species
AAACCGGAGCUAAUACCGGAUAUCCCCAUUGGGUCGCAUGGCCUGAUGAGGAAAUGAAUUUCGCUUUGGGAGGGCCUCGCGGCCUAUCAGCUUGUUGGUGGGGUAACGGCCCACCAAGGCGUCGACGGGUAGCUGGUCUGAGAGGACGACCAGCCACACUGGGACUGAGACACGGCCCAGACUCCUGCGGGAGGCAGCAGUAGGGAAUCUUGCGCAAUGGGCGAAAGCCUGACGCAGCAACGCCGCGUGGGGGAUGAAGGCUCUCGGGUCGUAAACCCCUUUCGACAGGGACGAAAUUGACGGUACCUGUGGAAGAAGCCCCGGCCAACUACGUGCCAGCAGCCGCGGUAAUACGUAGGGGGCGAGCGUUGUCCGGAUUUAUUGGGCGUAAAGAGCUCGUAGGCGGCUUGGCAAGUCGGGUGUGAAAACUCCAGGCUCAACCUGGAGACGCCACUCGAUACUGCCAUGGCUAGAGUCCGGUAGGGGACCACGGAAUUCCUGGUGUAGCGGUGAAAUGCGCAGAUAUCAGGAGGAACACCGGUGGCGAAGGCGGUGGUCUGGGCCGGAACUGACGCUGAGGAGCGAAAGCGUGGGGAGCGAACAGGAUUAGAUACCCUGGUAGUCCACGCCCGUAAACGUUGGGCACUAAGUGUGGGGACCUAUCGACGGUUUCCCGUGCCGUAGCUAACGCAUUAAGUGCCCCGCCUGGGGGAGUACGGCCGCAAGGCUAAACUCAAAGGAAUUGACGG